AGUCCCCCAAUCUAUCCAAAUCCCUCUGCAGCAAAGCAAUAUUCUGCUCACAUUUUAUUACUUUACAAAGUUUUGUGUCAUCUGCAAACACUGAUACAUGGCUUUCAAUGCCUAUUUCAAGAUCAUUUAUAAAUAUGUUAAAUAGAAGUGGUCCCAAAACAGAACCCUGAGGGACACCACUUACCACUUUUGUCCAGCCUGAAAAUUUACC